rnacentral:lncRNA from 1 species
UUAUUUCAGCUUGAGCAUGGUCGUAAGCCCUGCUAGUUCGAUUAUCAUCAUCAAUUUCUCUCCAAGCAUCAUCUUUUUCGAAAGCAGCAGGACAGUUUCAGAAGGAAUAAGAUAGAGAAAGAUCAUAUACCCAAGCACCUCAGUAGUAUGGAAGUAUUUCAGAGGAUAUCUCAAUUGGAUGAAGUUCUGUUUGGCAUUGAAUUUGACAAGUAGAAGCCUCGA